AAAGGAAUUGACGGGGACCCGCACAAGCAGUGGAUCAUGUGGUUUAAUUCGACACUAAACGAGGAACCUCACCUAGGCUUGACAUUGAUAGAAUUUUUGAGAAAUCAGAAAGUGCCCGCAAGGGAACUUGAAAACAGGCGCUGCAUGGUUGUCGUCAGCUCGUGCCUUGAGGUGUUCGGUUAAGUCCGUUAACGAGCGCAACCCAUAUCGUUAGUUAUUAUGUCUAACGAGACUGCUCGAGUUAAUCGAGAGGAAGGUGUGGAUGACGUCAAAUCAGCAUGGCCCUUAUGCCUAGGGCUACACACAUGAUACAAUGGUCGGUACAAAGGGUUGCCAAGUGGUAACAUGGAGCCAAUCCCAGAAAGCCGAUCUCAGUCCAGAUUGAGGGCUGCAACUCGCCCUCAUGAAGUUGGAAUUGCUAGUAAUCGUGAAUCAGCUAUGUCACGGUGAAUCUGUUCCCGGGUCUUGUACACACCGCCCGU
rnacentral:rRNA from 1 species